rnacentral:rRNA from 1 species
GAAAAUUUAAGGGCCGCAGUAUCCUGACUGUGCAAAGGUAGCAUAAUCAUUAGUCUUUUAAUUGGAGGCUUGUAUGAAUGGUUGGACAAAAGAAAAACUGUUUCUAUUUUAAAAAUUGAAUUUAACUUUUAAGUGAAAAGGCUUAAAUGAUCUAAAGGGACGAUAAGACCCUAUAAAGCAUUAUGUUGGGGCGACAAAAGUAUAAUUAGUAACUGCUUUAUUUCGUUACAUUGAUAAAUGAAAUGAUCCUUUAUAAAGAUUAUAAGAUUAAGUUACUUUAGGGAUAACAGCGUAAUUUUUCUUGAGAGCCCAUAUCGAAAGAAAAGAUUGCGACCUCGAUGUUGAAUUAAAAUUUCUUUAUUAUGCAGCAGUAAUAUAAGAAGGUCUGUUCGACCUUUAAAUUUUU